CAAAAGUCGUGCACGCCGGAGCAUGUCCUCUCUCUCACAUAAAAUCCAUCUCACCCUUUUGUGCACCACCGCGCGGGCACCCUUUGGGAUGCUUGCGUUUUCACACAAACCCCUUUUUAAAAAGUGUAGAAUGACCCCACUUUGCGAUGACACGCAAUCAAUACAACUUUCAACAACGGAUCUCUUGGCUCUCGCAUCGAUGAAGAACGCAGCGAAAUGCGAUACGUAAUGUGAAUUGCAGAAUUCAGUGAAUCAUCGAAUCUUUGAACGCACCUUGCGCCCCUUGGUAUUCCGAGGGGCACACCCGUUUGAGUGUCGUGAAAAUCUCAACCUUCUCGGUUUUCUUCUGGACACCGAAGGAGGCUUGGACUUUGGAGGCCUUUGCUGGCGUCUCUCUAGAGCCAGCUCCUCUUAAAUGAAUUAGCGGGGUCCUCUUUGCCGAUCCUUGACAUGUGAUAAGAUGUUUCCAUGACUCGGUUUCUGGCUCUGUUGCAUUUGGGACCUGCUUCUAACCGUCUCGACGAGACGAUGUUUGGGAGUGUCUCCCUUCUCGGGAGACUCUCUCG
rnacentral:rRNA from 1 species